rnacentral:tmRNA from 1 species
GGGGGUGAACGGUCUCGACGGGGGUCGCCGAAGGCGUGGCCGCGCGCCGAGGUGCGGGUGGCCUCGUAAAAACCCGCAAACGAAUAAAGGCCAACAAGCCUGCUUACGCCCUCGCGGCUUAAUGACCGCGACCUCGCCCGGAAGCCCCGCCGGGGGCUCGCCGGAAGCGGGGACACAAACCCGGCUAGCCUGGGGCCACGCCCUCUAACCCCGGGCGAACCUCUAAGAGGGCUCGCUCCUGGCCGCCCGUCCGCGGGCCAAGCCAGGGGGACACCCUAAACGCGGACUACGCGCGUAGAAGCCCGCCGUAGGGACCUUCGGACGGGGGUUCAACUCCCCCCACCUCCACCA